rnacentral:rRNA from 1 species
UACGUAGGGUGCAAGCGUUGUCCGGAAUUAUUGGGCGUAAAGAGCUCGUAGGCGGUCUGUCGCGUCGGCUGUGAAAACCUGGGGCUCAACCCCAGGCCUGCAGUCGAUACGGGCAGACUAGAGUCCGGCAGGGGAGACUGGAAUUCCUGGUGUAGCGGUGGAAUGCGCAGAUAUCAGGAGGAACACCGGUGGCGAAGGCGGGUCUCUGGGCAGUAACUGACGCUGAGGAGCGAAAGCGUGGGGAGCGAACAGG